rnacentral:rRNA from 1 species
AACGAACGCUGGCGGCAUGCCUAACACAUGCAAGUCGAACGAGACCUUCGGGUCUAGUGGCGCACGGGUGCGUAACGCGUGGGAAUCUGCCCUUGGGUUCGGAAUAACAGUUAGAAAUGACUGCUAAUACCGGAUAAUGUCUUCGGACCAAAGAUUUAUCGCCCAGGGAUGAGCCCGCGUAGGAUUAGCUAGUUGGUGAGGUAAAGGCUCGCCAAGGCGACGAUCCUUAGCUGGUCUGAGAGGAUGAUCAGCCACACUGGGACUGAGACACGGCCCAGACUCCUACGGGAGGCAGCAGUGGGGAAUAUUGGACAAUGGGCGAAAGCCUGAUCCAGCAAUGCCGCGUGAGUGAUGAAGGCCUUAGGGUUGUAAAGCUCUUUUACCCGGGAUGAUAAUGACAGUACCGGGAGAAUAAGCCCCCGGCUAACUCCGUGCCAGCAGCCGCGGUAAU